UGAUGCAGCGACGCCGCGUGAGGGAUGACGGCCUUCGGGUUGUAAACCUCUUCAGCAGGGAAGAAGCGCAAGUGACGGUACCUGCAGAAGAAGCACCGGCUAACUACGUGCCAGCAGCCGCGGUAAUACGUAGGGUGUGAGCGUUGUCCGGAAUUAUUGGGCGUAAAGAGCUUGUAGGCGGUUUGUCGCGUCUGCCGUGAAAAUCCGAGGCUCAACCUCGGACUUGCGGUGGGUACGGGCAGACUAGAGUGUGGUAGGGGAGACUGGAAUUCCUGGUGUAGCGGUGAAAUGCGCAGAUAUCAGGAGGAACACCGAUGGCGAAGGCAGGUCUCUGGGCCACUACUGACGCUGAGAAGCGAAAGCAUGGGGAGCGAACAGGAUUAGAUACCCUGGUAGUCCAUGCCGUAAACGUUGGGCGCUAGGUGUGGGACCCAUUCCACGGGUUCCGUGCCGCAGCUAACGCAUUAAGCGCCCCGCCUGGGGAGUACGGCCGCAAGGCUA
rnacentral:rRNA from 1 species